UACGUAGGAGGCAAGCGUUGUCCGGAAUUACUGGGCGUAAAGUGCGUGUAGGUGGUGGGACAAGUCUGCUGUGAAAUCUCCCGGCUUAACUGGGAGGGGUCAGCGGAUACUGUCGGGCUUGAGGCAGGUAGAGGAAGGUGGAAUUCCCGGUGUAGUGGUGAAAUGCGUAGAUAUCGGGAGGAACACCAGUGGCGAAGGCGGCCUUCUGGGCCUGUCCUGACGCUGAGGCGCGAAAGCGUGGGGAGCGAACCGG
rnacentral:rRNA from 1 species